rnacentral:rRNA from 1 species
UACGGAGGUUGCAAGCGUUGUUCGGAAUUACUGGGCUUAAAGGGGGUGUAGGCGGGCCAGAAAGUGCCGGGUGAAAGCCCACGGCUCAACCGUGGAACUGCCUGGCAAACUCCUGGUCUUGAGGCAGGCAGAGGUGAGUGGAACGAGUGGUGGAGCGGUGAAAUGCGUAGAUAUCACUUGGAACGCCGGUGGCGAAAGCGGCUCACUGGGCCUGUCCUGACGCUGAGACCCGAAAGCGUGGGGAGCAAACAGG